UACAGGGGGUGCAAACGUUGCUCGGAAUCAUUGGGCGUAAAAGCGCACGUAGGCGGUUCGUUAUGUCGGAUGUGAAAAGCCCCUUGGCUUAACCGAGGAAGUGCAUCCGAAAACUGGCGAGCUAGAGUACGAAAAGAGGAAUCGCGGGAAUUUCCCCGGUGUAGAGGGUGAAAUUCGUAGAUAUCGGGAGGAACACCGGUGGCGAAGGCGGCGAUCUGGGUCGAUACUGACGCUGAGGUGCGAAAGCGUGGGGGAGCAAACAGG
rnacentral:rRNA from 1 species